UCAAAUCUUAAAAUAUUUCAUUAAAAAAUGUCAAAUUUAGUUUUUUAAUAAAAUCCUUAAAAUGCUUGUUUCUGAGCAAGUCAAGCCUUCAUCCCUUAUAGGAAAAUCUUAGUAAUGGUUAUUUAAUAUUUGUAACUGGUUAAAAUUUAAUUUAAUUGUACUAAUUAAUUAGUAUAGUAAAAUUUUGAAACUUGUCUAUUUCAAAAACGUUUAAUUCCAUCAUUCUUUGAUAGAACAGUAAAGAAAAGCAACAUAUGAAUGUAUGUAUAAAUACACUUCUUCUUCUGAUAUUAGUGUUGGGACUCGGUCCGAGACUAAAUUUUUUUUUUGGUUCGUAGAGUGUAACAGCGGUACUUUAAUAGUAACAGUCAAGAAAGGCGAUAUAUAGCUACUCUUUGGAACAGUUAUUCUCUUUGACAUCACUAUUAAAAAGCAUGUUGGAAGUCGACAAAGCGUUAUGGUAUAACCUUAUAUUUCUAUUAACCUUGGGGCAGAUCUACAAUUUAUCGGAUGCAGAUCAGACGUUGACGGGUUCGACGUAAAUAUUUGUCUAAACAUCAGGGACUCGAACUUUUGAGUCUGGAUCUGACACCAAAUUUUGACAGAUAUUUGUCUCCUAUUUUAGGAGUAUUUUACCCGAAUUUCGGUUCUUCAUCAAAUAGGUUCGGGACAUUUUUACUUAUUACUUAUUUCGAAACAAUGAAUAACUCAAUCUUGUUACUAUUAAAACAUAAUUAUUAUAACUAUUGUUAUAAUAUUAUUGGACACGUCUUUACCUAUACCGUAUCUCGCAACCUCUCAUUCAUAAGAGAAGCUGAAAAAAGUCUUAAAUCCGUUAGUUGAAAGCCAAUUCCUCCAACUAUGGAAUUAUGACUAAUUAAUUCAUAGUUGGUAAUUUUUCACAGCAUCAUUCCAACCAAUUAAUAUUUAGACCAAUGAUUAGAGAAAAUGAAGAAGAAACACCGGCAGGCUAAUACAAAAAUAUACAGUCCAUUUUGAUGUUUUUUGCUUCUUUUCUUUUAAUUAGGCAUGCGAACGGAACGCAAAAUUGAACGGUAUAGUUUCCACUAAUUUGAGUUUUUAAUAGUGAUAUCGCUGCUAGUUAUUUUCAUCGAAGAGAGCUGAAUAAAAAUAGUAAUUGAGAAUUAUGAUUUUUCCUCUUCCAUGAAAUAGGGGUGUGGCUCUAUGGAGUUGGGAUGCGGCUCCCUCACUUUUCGUUUUAUUAUGAGCAGGUUUGUACCUAAAGCGGCCUUAGCGAUUCCAAAUUAUGGAACCGCUAGAAUUGAAUCCGAUGCAAUAGUACCAAGGCACCAAUUAUAUUUUUUGUCAGUCUAGAUUCUCAAUCACCCAUUAUCCAAUUCCAACUAAGAAUUAUUCACUUGUAAAUCUACAUUUCUUAUCAAUCACACGAGGAAAAAUAAUUUAUUUAAUUCUCACAUAUAAUUGUUUCCUGUUGCCAUGUAUUGAUAACGACAAAAUAAAGAUGUAAACGCCAAUUUUGGAGCAAAUUUGUACUGAAAAAAAAAAAGAAUACAUUUUUAUCAUAAUUAAUCAUACUAAUUUUUAUCCAUCAUAUUAAUAAAGAUACGAAGAAAAGAAAAAUUCAUUAGAUAUUGGUAGAUAGCUGUUCAUAUUGUUUGUUCUUGAAAUUUUAUAGCCGAGCCCGUUGAAAUAGAAUCGAUAAAUUUGGAAUAUUCUCAACAUUAAAGAAAUACAAGGUUAGGUCGUCAUUUAUUCGGGCUUCACCGAAUUUUUAAUUUGAUGUACCGUCCAGACUUAUGGGCAAGGCGGAUAGAUUUUGACGUCAUAGAGAAUAACAACGGUAUAUUAAUUAAAUUACUAAUAGUAAUAGUAUAUACUCUUUGACGGCACUAUUUUAAAAGCGUGUUGAAAGUCAAACAUCGGUGGGAAAAGUGUUAUGGUAUAAUCUUGUAUUUCUAUUAACCUUGGAAUAUUCUCAGAGGAUAAUUUACAUAUUUAUAUCAGAGGAAUAACGUUUUUUAUGAUUGCCAUAGACAUUUCUGACAAAAAUAGCUUUGGCGCCCUUGAUACACAUGAAAUUGUUCUUGAUUUUCUACGUUCAAUCUAUUCAGCAAUCUCAUUUGGAGUAUCCGGUUUGUUUAUGCCUCAAAAACUGUACAGCUUCAUUUAAGGUAUACACAAUAGUGUGUGUAAACCAGAAGCCUAGUACUACCUUAUGAUUGGAACGCUGAACGAAUUAAAAAAUGAACGGAACACCAAAACAGGGGAACGCUAACAAGCCUUCUUAUAAUCAAUGUACUGAACAUUAAUUGGUUGAAUUAGAAUAAGUUUAUUUUAAGCUUUUGAUAAUUCUCAACAACUAUUGAAUAAUAUUUCCAUUUUUGGGAAGAGUUUUCUUACUUCCAACUGAUUUUGGGGUUUUUUUCGCUUUCUUUUCGAAGGAAAGGUAUAGUAACACAAUAAAAGUAAUUGUGAGCGGUGCAACUAAUUAUGAAUAUAUCGCUCCAAGCAAUAGUCUCGAUAAAUAGAGAUGCGACUUUCAAUUUUAUCUUUUUUAAAGCUUUGAUUAAGUACAACCAUAACCUUUUUAAGACUAAAAAAUCCCUCAGAUCUUUUUUAAGAUACGUAAAAAGUGCGAGUACCCGGCUUACCCGAAGCUGGUUUGGGUCUCGGAUCUUUUGGGAUAAUACAAGUUUAUUUAUACCGUACUCGAGUACUUGGGACCGGGUUCCAUAAGUUAACCCGUCCUAUUUCUACUUGGAGGUAAAAUUUCAACUUUGGAAUUGAUGAUCAUUUUGAUUUCAUGCAAUAUUUUGAAUUCGAUACUCCCACAUUUUAUUAAAGAAAAUAUUUGGCUUAUGCAAUUCACUCAUUGAAAUGAUUUUACUUUUUUAAAUUUUUCAUGCUAAAUUACUUUUACUUUUUCUUUAGCCUUGAUAAAAUAAAUGGAUACUUAAGUGUAUUUAAUGUUUUUUUAAAUAGAAAAAAAACAAAUCAUGUUUGACUUAUUCGCCAAUUAGUAAGUUUUUAAAUCACGUUUUUAGACUUAUUUACAGACAACAAUUCAUUAGUGUUGUUUUUUUUAAAAACAUCUUGGGAUUAUUUGAAUUCAUAAUUACUCUGGGAGGAAGAAAACUAAUUAUGCUUCCUGUUUUCUUCUUUUUUAAAGCUCUAAUUAUUUUCCAUAUCGUGUAACAAGCUGUAGUAGGAUUUAAAAGUAGAUCCUAAAAAAUAAAAAAAGCUUCAUUUCUAUUGCGUCCUUAUUUUUUAAUUUCAUGUACACCUAUUGGACUAUUGUUGGUGUGUUGUCACGGGGAGGGGGAUGGGUCACCCAUGGAAUAUUAGUGAAAUAAAAAAUGGGAAUGUUUAGGAUUAUUUAUGAAGUAGAUUACUACAUAUAUCGUGCGUAUACACGUCUAGGUGUAGAUAUAAAAAUGAUAUUGGGGAAGAGUUGCUCUCACAAAAAUACCAUUAUACAGAUCGUCAGUGUUGCUUUUUGUCUUUGAUGAGGACACCUUCUAGUGAUAAAUUGAUACUUAUCUCAUGAAGAAUGAAAGCAUAAUGGCAACAGCUUAAGAAGAUAAUAAAAAAAUCAUUCUUUAGAUUGUUUACUAGAAUAAAAUAUUGCAAGAGUUAAGGUUUUCUAUAUAAUGGAACGUGUCUCACAAAGAUCGGGUUCUGUGCACCGUUUUUGAAAGUAGAGGUCAAUAAAUAGUAAUGUAAAUCGUGUGUAUUUUUUAGUUGGUCUGGUUUUUUUUUAAUAGGUAAUCUAAAAAAUGAAAUUUAUUUUCCUUAGGUGUUGUCAUUAUUAUUUAAUUCCUGAUUAUUGAACUUCCUUUCCUUUCCUACUACAUUACCGGGUACGGCUAAAAGUUCUUAACACUUUCAAUCUAGAAAUUUAUGAAGGUGCAUUUCAGCAAUCAGUUGUAAUGGGCAAUGAUGGCUUCCAGGCGACCCGGAAGGCCUUGCACCCAUUGUGGAUGUAGUCCUCGGACAUGGGAUCCCAGUACUGGUUGACUGUGUCCUUGAGAUUGUUGAUAUUUGGGUGACGCAAAGUGCAUGCCAUGGACUCAACGUGCACCCAAAAAGUGAAGUCCAAUUGGUGUGCAUCUGGUGAGAAGGGGUGCAAAAUUUUCUUUGGCCAGAAAGACAAGUUGUCCUCCAACAACUUCUGGGCUUUUUUGGAUGCACCAUCCUGCUGGAACACUACGUUCAUAUCCGGGUAUUUGGUCUGGACCCAUGGUAACAUGGCAAUCUCUGUUGGUUUCUGGCCAGUGUCCAAAAGUGUACGGACUUAAAUUCUUUUGUGUCGUUCAGAGUGCAUUUUCUCAACUUCUAAGACAUUUGAGAAGAUAAAGUGUUUUUUUUUUUUUGAGUAUUUGACCGGAACCAUUUUAGUGCAUUCAAUAAUUAAUGUAGCAAAAACGAAGUGUAAAUACUUUUUCGACGCACCCGGUAUUUGAAUGACUCCAAUUUGGCUCUCAUCCAACGAAAUAGACUUAACAUCUAAGAUUCAGUGCUUUAACUGUGCAAUUUGAUUUGGAUUGUGUAAUAAAGUUUACAUUGAAAGAAUAAAUAAUUAUUUUUAAACUAA
rnacentral:lncRNA from 1 species